rnacentral:sRNA from 1 species
ACUUCUUAACACAUUUUCACUACAUUUUUUGUAGUUUUAAAAAUAUCUCCAUGUCCAGUCUAGAUAUAAUACAAGUCUAUGGCUGCAACAUUUGGUUAGGAGAGUGCGGACAGCGUCAUCCCACAGAAAAUUGGCCUGCAAACUUGUAUAAGCUUUUGUUGGCCCUCAUAAUACACAAAGCUGUAAUGGUCAACUGUCAACUGAAUGUUCAUUCAUAAUACACAACGCUGUAAUGGUAAUGUCAACUGAAUUGCUUUAUGGUUUUUACUUUGAGAGCAAAUUUAUAAUUUUUUUUUUUUUACUUUUUACAUUUAUGAGCAGACUCUCAAGUUUGUGUACCGGGUAUAUAACUAACAAAAAAAAAAGAGUUAAUUCUAGUUUGUUGUUAAGAAUCUUGUCUCUGCUUAUAAUUUCUAUUUGACUUAGUCUCUGAUUUUGUGAUUGUAUAGCAGAAAUGAAUUUCUAGCUUUUCAUUUUAAAUUUGAAGUGAUGAAUGGUUUGCUAAAUCUUGUGUAAUUCUGUAAGUAAUGAAUGGUAACUGAAUCUUGUGUAGUUUGGCUAGUAAUGAAUGGUAACUGAAUCUUGUGUAGUCUGACAUGUAAUGAAUGGUAACUGAAUCAUGUGUAAUUUCGCAAGUAAUGAAUGGUAACUGAAUCUUGUGUAGUUUGGCUAGUAAUGAAUGGUAACUGAAUCUUGUGUAGUCUGACAUGUAAUGAAUGGUAACUGAAUCAUGUGUAAUUUCGCAAGUAAUGAAUGGUAACUGAAUCUUUUGUAGUUUGUGUUAUUCCCAUGAAAUUUCUACUUCUUAACAGGCUUAUACUAAUAACUAAUUGUCUGUAUUGAAUGAUAGAUGUCCUUUUCCUGUUCAUACUUGUGCAUUCCUAUAUCUGGCAACUGGAGGUUGUGAUAGGUUGCAAACUAUUUGCCAGGUAGUAAUUUACUUGAGUAAUAAAUGUAGAUAUACUGUUUUGAUCAUAAUAAGAAAGAACAAAAUAAAAUUUUUGGUGUCUGGUUCUUUGGCAAGUACACUGACUUUAUAUCUAGUGAUUUUUUUGUGAAUUUAAUUAACGCUGCACUGGACCUUGUACACAUGUACUAAGAAAAAGAUCUGAUUUUAGUUUCUUAAAUUUUGAUACCAAAAAUAUUUAUGCUCAAUGUGGUAAGGACUAGACUAGUUUUAAUACAAGGACUCAUUACUCAUUGUGACAACCAGACCUUUUUUAAAUCAAAAAUAUAAAACUACAUUUUUUAAAACUAUUUUAUUUUACAAGAUAGUUUAUUAGUUAAUUUUCAAACAAUGCAGUUUUUAGUUAAAUAGGGGUCACUAAGUGGGCUCUGUUGUUGUACAGAUUAAUGGUGACAGUGACUUCUGAAUGAGCUGGCUGCCAAAUUAAUUCAUGUUGGAACAAAACAGAGGAUGUUUCUAUUAUUUAUAAAAAUGUUUCCUGCAUUUGACUUCUCCUACUGAAUGGCAUUAUGUUGGUAGUGAUAUUUGACUUGAGAAGCAAUGUUCAUUUCAUGUUUUAUAUCAUUGUGGUCAACUGUGGUACUUAAACAAUUGUUCAAAGAAAGAUGUGUAAGACUCUUGCCAGAUCAAAACCAUAUUUUCGGCAUGUGUCUGACAUGUUUAUCUGGUAAACUUUUGAUUUUGUGUAAGCCUUCAUGACUUUUAGACAAUGUAAAUUAAAUGAUUGAUAAUUCUGAUAACAUCCUCCCCUCUUUAUACAGGCUCCCACCAAAACUACGCAGACAUUGUGCUAGCCAUGCAUUAAAUCACUGAAGGCGACCAUUUUAUACAUUUCUUGCUGUAAUUUCUUUGACCAUUUCAUUUUGUUUCUGUGUACAAACUUUCCCAGUCAAUAUUUGGUCUAAUGGCCUGACCAUCAUCAUUGUUCUAAGCAGACGACAGCGUUUUCAUGUUGAUGACUGGAACUAGUGUUGAUUGAAAAAUGUGGAUUAUUUAUUGAUGCAGUGAGAUAUUUCAACUGAAUUGAAGCUACCAUUUGGUGUCAGACUUCUGACAUUGUAAUAGCAUAAUGAGAUAGUGUCAUAUUUUUUAUUCAGAAUAUGUUCAUUGCCAUGGAUUAUUUGUUUUGUAUAUUUGUGUAUAAUGUUAUUUAACAAAACAGAAAAAAAGUACUAUUGAAAAUACCGAGUUAUAAAUAUCAUGAUGAUAUUGUAUCAUAUUCAUAUGCUUCAUUUUUUUUCAUAUUAUGUGAUACAAGUGUAUUUAUAAUAAAAUAAAAUAUUUGUCCUAUGA